rnacentral:rRNA from 1 species
UACGGAGGGUACGAACGUUAAUCGGAAUUACUGGGCGUAAAGCGCGCGUAGGCGGUUUGAUAAGUGGGAUGUGAAAGCCCCGGGCUUAACCUGGGAACUGCAUUCCAAACUGUCAGACUAGAGUAUGGUAGAGGCUGGUAGAAUUUCCUGUGUAGCGGUGAAAUGCGUAGAUAUAGGAAGGAUACCGAUGGCGAAGGCAGCCAGCUGGACCAAUACUGACGCUGAGGUGGCGAAAAGCGUGGGGAGCAACAGGAUUAAGAUACCCCGUA